AUUGAACGCUGGCGGCAUGCCUUACACAUGCAAGUCGAACGGCAGCACGGGAGCAAUCCUGGUGGCGAGUGGCGAACGGGUGAGUAAUAUAUCGGAACGUGCCCAGUCGUGGGGAUAACGUAGCGAAAGCUACGCUAAUACCGCAUACGAUCUAUGAAUGAAAGCGGGGGAUCGCAAGACCUCGCGCGAUUGGAGCGGCCGAUAUCAGAUUAGGUAGUUGGUGAGGUAAAGGCUCACCAAGCCGACGAUCUGUAGCUGGUCUGAGAGGACGACCAGCCACACUGGGACUGAGACACGGCCCAGACUCCUACGGGUGGCAGCAGUGGGGAAUUUUGGGACAAUGGGCGCAAGCCUGAUCCAGCAAUGCCGCGUGCAGGAUGAAGGCC
rnacentral:rRNA from 1 species